AGAGCGAACGCUGGCGGCAGGCCUAACACAUGCAAGUCGAACGGACCCUUCGGGGUUAGUGGCGGACGGGUGAGUAACACGUGGGAACGUGCCUUUAGGUUCGGAAUAGCUCCUGGAAACGGGUGGUAAUGCCGAAUGUGCCCUUCGGGGGAAAGAUUUAUCGCCUUUAGAGCGGCCCGCGUCUGAUUAGCUUGUUGGUGGGUAAUGGCCCACCAAGGCUACGAUCAGUAGCUGGUCUGAGAGGAUGACCAGCCACAUUGGGACUGAGACACGGCCCAAACUCCUACGGGAGGCAGCAGUGGGGAAUCGUUGCGCAAUAGGACGAAACGCCUAGGACGCAGCCAUCGCCGCGUGUAUGAUGGAAGGUCUUAGGAUUAGUAAAUACUUCAACGUGAAGAUAAUGACUGUAGACGGAGAAGAACGACCCGGCUAACUUCGUGCCAGCCAGCCGAC
rnacentral:rRNA from 1 species